rnacentral:rRNA from 1 species
AGAGUUUGAUCCUGGCUCAGAAUGAACGCUGGCGGCGUGCUUAACACAUGCAAGUCGAACGAGAAAGGGAUUGCUUGCAAUCCCGAGUAGAGUGGCGCACGGGUGAGUAACACGUAGAUAAUCUGCCUUCAAGCCUGGGAUAACUAUUCGAAAGGGUAGCUAAUACCGGAUAAAGUCGAUUUACACAAGUAGAUUGAUGAAAGAUUGCCUCUUCUUGAAAGCAAUUGUUUGGAGAUGAGUUUGCGUACCAUUAGCUGGUUGGUGGGGUAAAGGCCUACCAAGGCAACGAUGGUUAGCUGGUCUGAGAGGAUGAUCAGCCACACUGGAACUGGAACACGGUCCAGACUCCUACGGGAGGCAGCAGUGAGGAAUUUUGCGCAAUGGGGGCAACCCUGACGCAGCAACGCCGCGUGAGUGAAGAAGGCCUUUGGGUCGUAAAGCUCUGUCAACAGGGAAGAAGUUACAAUUGUUUAACAGAUGGUUGUAUUGACGGUACCUGUGGAGGAAGCGCCGGCUAACUCCGUGCCAGCAGCCGCGGUAACACGGGGGGCGCAAGCGUUAUUCGGAAUUAUUGGGCGUAAAGGGCGCGCAGGCGGUCUUGUCCGUCAGGUGUGAAAGCUCGGGGCUCAACCCCGGAAGUGCACUUGAAACAGCAAGACUUGAAUACGGGAGAGGAAAGCGGAAUUCCUGGUGUAGAGGUGAAAUUCGUAGAUAUCAGGAGGAACACCGAUGGCGAAGGCAGCUUUCUGGACCGAUAUUGACGCUGAGGCGCGAAGGCGUGGGUAGCAAACGGGAUUAGAUACCCCGGUAGUCCACGCAGUAAACGUUGUACACUCGGUGUAGCGGGUAUUAAAACCUGCUGUGCCCAAGCUAACGCAUUAAGUGUACCGCCUGGGAAGUACGGUCGCAAGACUAAAACUCAAAGGAAUUGACGGGGGCCCG